UACGUAGGGGGCAAGCGUUGUCCGGAAUGACUGGGCGUAAAGCGCGCGCAGGCGGUUUGCCACGUCUUGGGUGAAAGACCGGGGCUCAACCCUGGGGGUGCCUGAGAUACGGGUGGACUUGAGGGUCGGAGAGGUCAGGGGAAUUCCACGUGUAGCGGUGAAAUGCGUAGAGAUGUGGAGGAAUACCAGUGGCGAAGGCGCCUGACUGGACGAAACCUGACGCUGAGGCGCGAAGGCGUGGGGAGCAAACAGG
rnacentral:rRNA from 1 species